UACGGAGGAGGCAAGCGUUAUCCGGAAUUAUUGGGCGUAAAGCGUCCGCAGGUGGCACUUCAAGUCUGUCGUCAAAGACUGGGGCUUAACCCUGGAAAGGCGGUGGAGACUGAAGCGCUAGAGUGCGGUAGGGGUAGAGGGAAUUCCCGGUGUAGCGGUGAAAUGCGUAGAGAUCGGGAAGAACAUCGGUGGCGAAAGCGCUCUACUGGACCGCAACUGACACUCAGGGACGAAAGCUAGGGGAGCGAAUGGG
rnacentral:rRNA from 1 species